AGCUGGAAGUGAGCCUGAGUGAGAGCUGGUGAAGCUGUGUUCUGAGUUGGUUCCUGCUGGGGGGUUCGUGGUCUCGCUGACUUCAAGAAUGGAGCUGCAGACCUUUGUGGUGUUACAGCUCUUAAAAAUGCUUCCAGGCUGAGCACUCAAGAUACAGUAGCCAGGUCUUUAGGGAGAGGAGAUGGUGCUGGGAACAUACUUCUAUUGUUUGUGGCAUAAAGCUGGAAAGCCCGGUGAGAUGCAGUUGUCCACACCCUUGAAGCUUGGAGACCUGAGCACCCUCCUGCCCUGUGCUUUGUAUCCAUCACCUUGAAAAACACUUUAACCACUGACAUUGCAAAAGUAUCAUGUGUUUGAUCUCACACUCCCGAGUGAAAAAGUGAUUCCUGCCUGUCUACUUUCUGAACACAGAAGGAGACAUUAAGGAGUGGUGUCUCCCUUCAGGACAUGGUGUGGACAACGCUGGUAGGAGGUGACCUCCAGAGGCCGAGUGACAAGAACACUGAUGCAGAAGCUAGCUCUGGUCCUGUCUGCCACCGCCUGGAGGGGUGGCCCUAGGUAAACCCUGACUUCCUCUGGAGCUUGAUUUGCUCAUCUGCCACACCAGUGGCUUCGACUGAUGGCCUCCCAAGGUCACUUCUGUUUUUAACAUUUGGGUCAUUUAUGGCCACAGAGACCCAGGGAAAGGGAGGCAAAAGCAGAAGAGGAAACAGAAAUGAGAGAGGAGAGAAGGGAAAGGAGAAACUGAAGAGAGAACAAGAAAGAGGAAAAACAGGAGAAGACAGAAGAAAAGCCAGUGCUGUAUUUGUUGAGAAUAAAGGACCUGCCUUGACUUUCUAAAUCCUUAAUGGAGGUUUAUUAAAUGCCAGAACCACGGCAGAGUGAAGAGGCCUAAGCAAUGCAUCUCAAAAUAGAAGGUUCGGUAUUUAUUUGGAAGACAGUAAUUUCAUUUCCAGGGAGAAUUUUCAGUAAAAAGGUUUACAUGGGCCAUUAAAUUCUUAUCUUUCAAUGUAUCUGCCUUAAAGCUGUAAAAAUAAUAACAAUGUCUUGUAUUUCCCAUGAGCCAGCACUUUCAAAGGACAUACAGUACCUAACUCAGUCCUCACAACAACAUUGUGAAGUAAACACCGCUGAAAUCCUGUGUAUGUGUAUGCACACUGACUCAGUGAGGUUGUCAUUUGUCCAGCGAGGAACACCAAGAUUCAAACCGAGCUCAGUUAUAUUCAAAGCCUGAGAGUCCCAGGGCUUUCCACUGUGUGAGCAAAUCAUAGGUUAAUUUAGACAGUUCCUUUGACAUGGACGCUUGAGUGGUUUCCAAGUUUUUAGUAUCACAAACAAGGCUGCAGUGAAUAAUCUUGUCAUGUGUCAGUUCAUACUUGUCAGAUAUAAUCCCUUGAGUGGGGUUGCUGUGUCAGAGGGAGGACCCUUGAAAUUUUGAUGAUGAUUGCCCUUAAUAGGGAAUGCCCCAUUUUGCAAUCUCACUGAGAACAGACACUGGUGCCUGCCUUUUGAGUGCCUAGCCAACAGAGGGUUUGGUCAAACUUUUGGAAUUUUAUCCACCUGAUUAAGGAAAAGUCAUCUCCUAGUGUAGUUUUGAUUUUUCAUGUCUCUAAUUAUGAAUGCUUGCAAGGAUUUCAGGUCAUCUGCAUUUCCUGUUCUGUAAACUUCCCAUGACUUUUGCCCACUUUUAAAAAUUAAUCUGUGGUCAUUCUAUCUUUCAUUUCUGGGAGCGCUUCGUGUGUUUUGGAGAAAAGUACUUUUCUGCGUCAUGAGCUACACACAUUUCCC
rnacentral:lncRNA from 10 species